rnacentral:rRNA from 1 species
AUGACAUUGCCAAACACACUCAUGUCAGCGGAUCAGAUAUUUGAGUUUGUUAGAGCUGCGGAUUGUUAUCCAAAUGUCUCGAUUGCUUAUCGUAUUCUCUUGGUUGUACCUGUGGCUGUUGCAUCAGCUAAAAGAAGUUUCUCGAAAUUGAAGCUACUAAAAAAUUAUUUGAGGUCAACAAUGUCUCAAGAAAGACUAAAUGGUUUGGCCAUGUGUUGCAUUGAGAAGAAUAUUUUGUAUAGUAUUGAUCUUGACAUUAUCAUGAAUGACUUUGCCUCAAAAAAAUGCACGGAUGUCUCCUUUCUUAUG